rnacentral:rRNA from 1 species
GAUGAACGCUGGCGGCGUGCCUAAUACAUGCAAGUCGAGCGAACAGACGAGGAGCUUGCUCCUCUGACGUUAGCGGCGGACGGGUGAGUAACACGUGGAUAACCUACCUAUAAGACUGGGAUAACUUCGGGAAACCGGAGCUAAUACCGGAUAAUAUAUUGAACCGCAUGGUUCAAUAGAGAAAGACGGUUUUGCUGUCACUUAUAGAUGGAUCCGCGCCGCAUUAGCUAGUUGGUAAGGUAACGGCUUACCAAGGCAACGAUGCGUAGCCGACCUGAGAGGGGGAUCGGCCACACUGGAAGUGAGACACGGUCCAGAGUCCUACGGGAGGCAGCAGUAGGGAAUCUUCCGCAAUGGGCGAGAGCCUGACGGAGCAACGCCGAGUGAGAGAUGGAGGUCUUCGGAUCGUAAAGCUCUGUUAUUAGGGAAGAACAAAUGUGUAAGUAACUAUGCACGUCUUGACGGUACCUGGUCAGAAAGCCACGGCUAACUACGUG